CUUGGGCGAAGUAAUCCGCGGCCACAAGGCCUUCGACUGGCCGGACUCGAAUGCCUGGUGGGUCAAGCCCUGUUUCAUUGUCCAGAGAAAGAUGCUCCAACCAGCAUAGUGGUCUGGAAAAUUCAAUUCAAAUUUUCAAAUGGGUACUGCCAGAAUCAAUACAAAGCUUCAGAAAUGUAAAAUCGGUCUGGAACUUCCUAACCUUUUCAAUGUUUCAGUGAAACUCCCACCCCACAGGCGCUUUCGAAACAGGCCCUCGGCGCAGGGCUUGCCAUCCCAGAGCUCUAGCCCGCCGGUGACAAUCCCGGGCACUAAAACGACUGGGUGACGACCUGAUAUGCCUUCUCGCUUUAGAACAGCGCCCGGAGAAUCAAUGACCGGAAAGCCAGGUAGUGAAAGAGGCAAAUAAUGGUAGAGGAAAAACAUCAACCACCAAAAUGUACAAAUAUAUCCAAUAAUCCAACAGCAGUUAUCUAAGCACUUCCACUCUCUUGAUUGGCCCCUGUUGAUGUUCUUGUUUCUUUUCUUCUUAUCGUCCUUGUCUUGCUUCUUUUGCAUCAAGUUCUUCACAUAUGCGACAAUGACAUUACGUUUAUUAUCUGAUUUAUGUGCUUCAAUGGAUUGAAGCCCCAUAGAAGAACUCUUAACAGGGUUGACGAAGUACAAUUUGCGGAGACGAAGAACAGAGGCCAUUGAAUAAGGAGUGAAAAAGUUGAAAUCAAGAAAAUUAAAGAAGAAUGAAGAGAACCCAUGAAUUAUGGGGGAUUUUAAAACAGGAAAAAGGCUUUUGAAAACUUGAUGGAGCUGUCAAGAAGGGAAUACACGUGGUGAAAUGAAAAAGAGAAGAGGGAGUAAAUGGCCUGGUGGCCAUGGGUGGCUGAAGGUGUGCAGUAGGAAAAAAACAGGGGACGUGAAAGAAAAGAGAAAAAGGAAGGAAACGGUUUA
rnacentral:lncRNA from 1 species